rnacentral:lncRNA from 1 species
CCUGGGAACUCUCUCACAUGUGCUCUUCUUCUAAGCUCCCUUCGUCGUGCUCAGCACCAGCCCCUGGGGCUCGACUUCCUCCUGACCGGCACCAAGCCGCUGGUCCCUAGGCGUCCCUUCCAGCUCCACCGUGCCCAUGACUCCCUAUGCCACCUCUGCUCGCCGGGCCGCGCGUCUCAGCUCAGCCGUAGCGCUCGCAUCGCCUUACUUCCUCGUUGUUCUAGCACCGCCGGCCGUGCUUCUCCCUAGUCAAGUGCCCUUGCCUACAGCCCCAACGUGCCGCUGCUCUGGCCCUGUCUCGCCGUGUUCUUGGAUAUGGACGGUGUCGACAUCUUCAUUGUGACGCGUCACUACGAUCUCUCCACGCCAUGCCAUACACGCCCGCCAUCACGUCUUGCUCCAGCUGCAGAUCUGCGAACUUACAUCCUCACGAUUGACCAUGUAAUGGAAGGUGACACGACACCAUUCGCAUACAUAAUAACCGCACAGGACAGUACCCGAAGGUUGUUUGUCACCAUAUGGAAAUAAUGAUAUUGACAAAUUAGGCUUGUCCUCUGGAUGUUCGCCGCCAAGAUCUUUCCAAUAAAAACGGUAUGCACUGCAUAUAAGAAUAACAUUGUGAGAUUAAGAAUACAUUUGUUAAGUUGUAAUAAGUACAAGUGUGCAAUAAUAAUCAUACUUCUCUAAAAUCUUCAAGAAGUCAUUAUACGUAGCCUUUUCCAUUCUCAGUGAGUCGAAGACCACGACUUUACCAUCCUUUGGCCAGAUCAUGAUACAAAUGUAGUGGUCACUAUAUAGACAUAGACGAAAACACAUGUUAAUAUCACGACUGCCAUAAUUUAUAGUUCAAAAUUAAACCAUGUCGAUAACUUACUUAAAGUGGUGCGGAGCUAUUAUUAAGUCCUUGCCAUGUUGUACAUGAUUAUACAUGGCUCGUCCAAUGUAUGCCGCCAUUACCUUCAUUUUCUUUCUCUGAUUCUGUUUGACGGCUUUCUCAAAUUCAGCAUCGUCCAAGUCUUUGUAUUCUUCUCCUUGCCUCCGAGCAACUACUAGCAUCUACAGAUAUGGACACAAGUCCAAAUUUGGUGCUACUCGGCACCAUCGAUAUCACUAGAAAAAAAAUACAUCAAAGAGAUACACUUCCCAAUAGUACUCGAAGAUAGUUCAUUGACUUGACACUCUCUAAGAGGUUCAUACAAAAUACAUUAUCUCUAAGAGUGAAACCUACGAUACUCAUAUCGUGUUGUUUAGGACUAAACAUCAACAACCCCUUGACUGGUCGCUAUCAUACUCAAUUCCAAAAUAUUUUUCCAAUAUGUCGGCUUGAGUAAGGAGAUCUGGGCUUGGGAGUUCCUCCAAAUCAUCUGCAGCUUCAUCAUCUUCAGCAUAUUGCAGGGCUUCAUCUUGAAUAAUUUUAGCCCUCUUGGAGUCAGCAUACUUUUUGAUGGACAGAGCACACUUCUCAAGCAUGUCGCAUACAUCUCCAAUUUGAAACAAAGUGGUCUUAAGUGUGUACACUGAUUCCGGUUCACUAGUAUCCACAACCCCAUCAGUCACUAGACUGCGAAUGAUGUCAACAUGUGUCCCGAUGACUCGAACUGAGCUCUCAACCAUGUCAAGUGGCUCUUUUUCCAUCUCUAAAACUGAAAAUGGCCAAGUCUCACAAUCAACAUUGAGAUCGCAACAAAGGCAGGGAUCAGAGGGAAAACAAGGAUGUGGCUUAUAGGGCAAAAAGAGGGGUCCAAAUAACAUUGUCAUGGCUAUGAACAAGUCAAAGAUGGGAGAUAAGAACAAGUCUUAUAACAUAGGGUUGGGAAGCAAAGAUAGGUAGUCAAAAAACUAAGAAGGGAGAUAAGAACAAGUCUUAUAACAUAGGGAGAUAAUAACAUUGCCAUGGCUAUGUACUUCCAUUAUGUAUGUGGCCAUAAGCACUAAAAAUAGACUUGUUUCCCCAAUCACUAUGGAGAUUUUCUACCAAGAAGGGGUCCUAGUAGUUGCAUCAACUAUCCAUGACAAAAUUCUUCAUAAGCAUAAUUACCAACAUUUAAUCACAAGGGAUACAAGCUACUAAAGCAAAAAUGGUGACCUUAACAAAAUAUGUAAGUGAAAACACCAACAAUAUAAGCAUAAUGACCAACAUUAACAAUAUAAGAUUAACAAUAAUUAAGGCAUGACUAGCAAAAACAAGUAAUCAAGGCAUGAAUUUUUAACAAGUAAUUAAGGCAUGAUCAAGGAGUGCACCGAGGGCUCGGAGAUGGGCACGGCGGCGCACUCGGCGCUCGGGCUCGGCGGCGCUCGGGCUCGAGGACGGAGACGGCGGCGCUUGGCCUCGGAGACAGUGGCGCUUGGGCUCGGGGACGGGGACGGGGACGGUGGCGCACUCGGAGAUGGGCACGGCGGCGGGCUCGGCGCUCGGGCUCGGCGGCGCUCGGGCUCGGGGACGGGGACGGCGGCGCUUGGCCUCUGAGACGGUGGCGCUCGGGGACGGGGACGGGCGCCCAGCUCGGAGACGGUGGCGCUUGGGCUCGGGCUCGGCGACGGCGUGGCGGGCGCUCACGGCUCGGAGACGGGGACGGGAACGGCGGCGCAGCAGCCUGGCGGCGUAGUAUCAGCUCCGUGCGAAAACUAAACCCUAAGCCACCGUACCGAGGCUUUUAUAUAGUGAACACAUCACAGGCGGAUUUUUAGAACAACCGCUUGUGAUGUUAUACAUCACAAGCGGUUUUUCUUAAAAUCCGCCUGUGAUGUGUAUGUAGUAUAAAAGGCUCGGUUCCAGCGCAGGAACCCUAACUUCCGGAGCCCGACGCCGCUAGGCUGCACACUACUGUAGUGGCGGCGAAUUUUUUUGAUCUACGGGGAGAAGGUUUUGUUUUUGAUUUUCGGGCUUGAUUUCAAGAGUUUAUGCAUAUAUAUGAUCUCCGUUUGUUUUCUUUCUCAUUUUGAUACGAUUUUUUGCCUCAAUUUUGUAAUAUAGACCGGAAUUGAAGAAAAACUCAGGAAUUCCAAGAUUUGGACUUGUAGUUGAUCUAAUUUAAAGAUUUUUUUUUGAAGAGUUGUCUCACCUCAAGGUACCUAUAUUGCUGCAAUCUUGUUUCAUUUUCAUGCACAUUAAUUUGUUCAUGAUUUAGGGAUUAAAUUCAAUUAAUUAGGGAUAUUUUAAAAAAUUUUGUCUCAUGUACUAGGUACAUCUCGAUAUGAUCUUGUUUCACUUUCAUGAACAUUUAUUUUAAAAAUGGAGGGACUGGAAAGUGCCUCAAAAGAACCUUUAUAUGAUGAAUCAAAGGGUUGUGACAAAGAGUUUACUACACUGCGUACAGUUCUAGAACUUCUGAAGUUGAAGGCUAGCGCCGGAUGGUCUGAUACUAGCUUCACAGAUCUUUUGAAUUUUCUGUCUCAAUUACUACCAAAACCCAACAAACUACCAACAAGCACUUAUAAAGCGAAGAAGCUUAUAUCUCCCAUAGCUCUGGGUGUGCAAAAAAUUCAUGCAUGUCCGAACCAUUGUAUUCUGUAUCGUGGCGAUUUUGAGAACGCAUGAAGAUGCCCAGUUUGCAAUGUCAGUCGAUACAAGAAGAGCUACAAUCAAGACUGUGUAAAAAAAUUCCAGAAGAAAAAUAAAAACAAGAAAUCCACUAUUGGACCUGAAAGUGACGAUGACACUUUUGAUGACAUGGAUGGGAAAAAGAAGUCAAAGAACCCAGCUUUGGUGAUGUGGUAUCUUCCAGUAAUUGAUCGCUUAAAACGUUUGUUCUCAAACCCUAGGGAGGCUGAGCUUAUGCGUUGGCAUGCUGGAAAUCGCAAGCAGAAUAACAAACAGAUUCGACACCCUGCUGAUGCAUCACAAUGGAAAAAUUUCGAUCUUAUGUAUCCUGAGUUUGCCAAAGAAACCAGAAAUGUAAGAUUUGCUUUGGGUACAGACGGAAUGAAUCCAUUUGGUGAAAAAAGAAGUGUACAUAGCACCUGGCCCGUGACUUUAACGAUGUACAACCUUCCAUCAUGGCUAUGUCACAAAAGAAAGUAUAUUAUGUUGACUAUUCUUAUUCAAGGUCCGAAAUCAGCUGGUGUUGAUAUUGAUGUGUUCCUAGAACCUCUUAUGGAAGAUAUGACAAAGCUCUGGAAUGAAGGAGUUAGAAUAUGGGAUGAGUAUUGCCGUGAGUAUUUCAACUUAAGAGCAAUUAUAUUUGUUACCAUCCAUGAUUCUCCCGGUGGCGCCACACUAUCAGGGCAAAAGACUAAAGGAAAGAAUGGUUGUGUAGUGUGCGUCGAUGGAACUGCUUCCAUGUACCUUAAAUCAUCCAAGAAGUUGGUGUUCAUGGGACACAGACGGUUCUUGAUGAAGCAGCAUAAGUACCGAAAGAUGAAAGAGGAAUUUAACAAUCAACUGGAAAGUGAAGGUGCACCAAAGCCUUAUAGUGGGAAACUUGUUUUUGAAAUUGUAAAGAACAUUCAUGUUGUAUUCGGAAAGGGAAAAAACAAAGGAGAAAAGAGAAAGAGAACUGACCCUUCAACUUACACAACUUUCAAGAAGCAAUCAAUAUUUUUCAAGUACCUCCCAUACUGGAAGGAUAUGGAAAUUUGCCACAGCAUUGAUUUGAUGCAUGUAACAAAAAAUGUUUUUGACAGCAUCAUUGGAACCUUGCUGGGCAUGCCGAGUAAGACAAAAGACGGACUUAAAUCACGCAAUGAUCUAGUAGAUCUUCAAAUCAGACCGGAACUUCAUCCAGUGGAUAGUGGCAAAGGGAAGCCUUACCUCCCCCUAGCUAGCUACAACUUGUCAGUUGAGGAGAGAACAAAGAUUUGCAAAUGUUUGUGUGGGGUCAAAGUGCCCACAGGUUUCUCAUCCUGUUGGGGACUUGUUCUCAAAUGCUGAGAGUUAAGAACAAGGCAACAUAGAAAGUAUUAAGUGUUAAAGUCCCUUCGUCCUUCGAAGCAUUAUGUCCCUUCAGGAAAUAAUGAGUUUCGGACGAAGGUCAUAAGAGACAUACCUUCGUAAACAUAACAAGUAAUGACGAAGGAUUCAUAUAAAGCAUGAAAUAUAAUAUAAACAUCAUCAUAGAAUCAUUUCUAUUUUAUUAACAUGGAAAAAUAGAAAUGAUUUCAAAUUACAAAUGUACCUUCGGUCCUGAAAGAAGGUAGAAAGUACAAGCGUGACGCAAAAGCAAAUGCCAAGUCAGCGUGAACAGUACGGGGAUACUGUUCACCUAUUUAUAGGCACGGGGUACAACCCAUACAAAAUUACAUACAUGCCCUUUACAUUUGGUGAUAAUUCUAUAGCAUUCUAUCGAGGUCCAAAUGGCCUUUUCAUCUUUAAGUCGGUUCCUUUUUCUGCGAACAUGCCGAAGCUUUCCUGCUUCACAGCUUCGGCACUGUGUCAACCUUCGUAUCUUUUGAGCUUCUCCCUUUCUGAUACGCGUCCGAAGAUACCUGUUCACACAUUAUACUCCAGAAACAUUGUUAAAUCAUGUUUUUGAGGACCUUCGGAAGCCGAAGGCCCCCAACAGUAGCCCCUCGCAAUAUUAAUUUGUUAAUAAAUUUAGAUUGCGACAUGGACGAAGGCUUUUAAGCCGAAGGUCCGAAAAAACACCUUCCCUUUGCUAGAAUAGCAACAUUCAAUGACAAGUGGGGUCUUUCAACUUUCCACGCAUCAAGCGUAUAAAUACGGCCAUACCGCAAACUUAUUUUGCACGCUUUCUGGCCAACCACUCCUGCUCACUCAUUUUUUAGCUUUUGUGCACUGUGAUCUGCUAAGCUUUUAGCUUUGAAGCUUCGGCUUUGAAAACAGUUUUUAGUGUUUCCGAAGAUGUCUGAAGCUGCUAAGAAGGCUGCUGCUGAGAUGAAGCUGAGUCUUGAUGAAGAGAAGAACUUAGGGUUCCUUAUAGCAAUGUCGAAGACCAACACAGAAAAGAUCACCAGGGAAAUUCUGGAAGGGCUGUCUGAAGAUACUGGUGACAGUGAAAGUUAUGAUGUGGACAGCGGUGGCGAAGACUCCGAAGAUCGCCCCUGGCGACCAAGCCAUUCAGUUUAUGGUAAAUCAACUAUCAAAGAGAAUCAUCUUGUUAAUAUGAGAGGAAGGUAUUUCCGGGAUCUGUCCAUUGUGAGGGCGGACGAAGGGGAAAAAACUUGUCCACACCCUGAAGAAAAUGAAGUUGUGGUGUACCGAAGCUUUUUGAAAGCCGGAUUGCGAUUCCCCUUGAGCAGCUUCGUCGUGGAGGUGUUGAAAAUCUUCGAAGUCUAUCUUCAUCAACUUACUCCAGAGGCUAUUAUAAGGCUAAAUAUCUUCGUGUGGGCCACGAGAAGCCAAGGUCUGAAGCCUGACGCAAGAAGCUUCUGUAAUGUUCAUGAAUUAUUAUAUGAAACAAAACCUUGGGGCAAAGAACAGUACCAUAACAACUUUGGCUACUACAGCUUCGUCUCCCGGUCCGGGGCAAGCUGUCCCGUACCAACCUUUCGGAAGAGAUGGCCCGGGGAUUGGAUGACAGAAUGGUUUUAUGUGAAGAAUGACUUAUCAGCACGAGAAGACAUCAAAGGUAUAAUUAUGCGUCCUAUUUGGCAAAGCUUCGGCCUUCGGAGGCCGAAGGUUGAAAUAAACGAAGCCGCCGAAGAGUGCCAAAGAGCCUUCGGCGUUGUCUGCUCUUUUAUAGGAACAAGGGACUUAGUUCAAGAGCAUAUUGCCUUCAGGGUGUGGCCGCUUGCGGAGAAAUGGGAAAUGCCACAAGAAACCAUUAAAGAGGCCGACGAAGGUGGGCUUGUGAGACUGAAGUACACCUUCAAGUUUGGAGAUAAAUUUACUGAGCCAGAUGACGACUGGCUAAAGAGUAUUGAAAAUUUAAGUGACGAAUUGCUUGGUGCUUAUUCGAAGGCCGAAGAUACUGCGAUGUCAGCAGCCUUCGGAGGCCGGAAAAAGAAGAGACUGAAUCGGGUAUUUGAUGCAAUUGGGUUUGUUUACCCUGACUAUUGCUACCCCGUCCGAAAGCAGAAAAGAAAAAACAUAACUUCUGCAAAAGAAGAAGCUGCAACUGCUCCUAGCGAGCCAGAGCCUGAAAGAAAGAAAAUAAAAGUCCUCACUCACCAACCGCGCUACAUCGAACCAGCUUCGGUGCCGGAGUUUACCGAAAAAACUCCUUCAGCAACCGAAGCUAAAAAACUAAUCGAGCCAACUCUGCUGUCAGAAGUCACAGAAAUGGCCGAAGUGCUAUCCACAGAAAAAAUUGCAGAAGUGGAAAAUCCAACUGAAGAAAAAGUACCAGAACUUGCGAGUCCUGCAGCAAAUGUUGAGACAACAAAAAAUCAAAAAGCGCCAGCAGUGACUCCAAAAAGAAGAAGAAUGGCGAAUGUGCUAGAUGUACUAGAAACAAUUAAGACUUCAAGCACACCUCCGAAGAAGGCUAUUGUUACUCCUGAAGCGACAGCUGAAAUUUCUGGUUCUACAGUUCCAGGGCAAGAAAUUGAAGCCGAAGCUGGGCCCUCAGAGUCCGCAAAGGCAAAAACCUUGGAUAGUGAGGCAGAAAAAAUAACAAAGCCAACCUUUGCUGAAGAAACUGGUGUUGUUACCCCCGAAGCAUCCUCCAAAAUUCGUGAUUAUGUUUUUCGUCAUGCUUCGGGGAAAAAAUUAUCAGAAAAAGAAGAACAAGAGGCCCAACACUAUGCCCAAAAGUUGAAAUAUCCAAAGGGGGCGUUGAUAUUUAAUGGCAGUGGAGAAGAAGAUUUCUUGUAUUGCCUCCCCGACAGCAAGGAAAUUUCUGUCUGUCGGGAGAUGAGCAGAAGCUUCGGAUUCCCGACUUUAGAAGACGGACUUUCGGUGCUGUCAAAGAACGAUCUGGCUGACAGCCUAGCUUACAACAGUUUAAAGGUGCGACAAAUGGAAUUCUUGUAUUUUUGUUGAGUUCAAAAUUUUUCGUUUGUUUAAAACUAUUGACACAGACAUAUUCCUGUCUGCAGGGUCUGAUACUCAGCAAUGCCCUCAGAGCACAGAAAGAUGCUGAGGACGAAGGAUGUACUAUAGCCCUGAGCAACCUUCGUUCCGAAGUAAUUGAACUGAGGAACGAAGGUCUUGAAAAAGACAAAAUAUUGCAUUCCUUAAUAAAUAAAAUAAAAGAAGACGAAGCUAUUUUCAAAAGUCAAGCUGAAGCUCAGAAACGCGAAAUUGAAGACCUUCGGAAACAACUGGCCAGAGCCAAAGAAGAACGUAUACUUGAAGAAACAAAGCGUGAACUCAGCGAUCAAUGGGCAGAUCAUCUAGAAGUGACUGUUGAAGAGCUUCGUUCGUCCAAAAAGAAAUGCUACAAUAAAUCUGUAGAUUGUGUUAAAAAAUUAAAGGCUAGCUUCGCCAAGGUCGGCGCAUUCUCAAGUGAAGAGAAUUUUUUGAGGGGCAAUCCCGAAAGUGUCAUUGAAUGGAUUGACCACGAAGCUGAAGCCUUCGAAGAAAUUUUAAAUAGCCGAGGAGAUAUAUGUGCCUUCUCUGGCGCCAGAGGGAUUGCCACCAUUUUAGAGAAGAAGGGCUGCGAGCAUGUGAAAAUUUUAGCACAGUCCGAAGCUGCUUUGUCCUUUGAAGAUACAAAAGAUCCUUCGGCCGAAGCUAGCAUAAUUGGUGGAAAGUUUUUUACUGAUAUCUGGGAUAACGGUGGCCGAGAAAUGGCAAAAGAAAUUAUUCAGAGAAGUGAAAAGGGCAUCCAUGAUGCUAGAGAAGUGGCUAAGGCUGCUGAAAAGAGCACAGAGCCCGAAGGUCAAUUAGGUACUAAAUAAUAGUUUUUACCGUGUUGUAAUCUUUAGGCUUUUAAGAUCUGUUUGCGAUUUGUAAUAGUAAUGUAGUCGUGUCCUGCUUCAGAUCCUACUAAAACGCCUUUGGGCCCUCAGCCUAAAGAUGACGACGAAAUUAAAAAGAUGGCCGAAGCUAUCAUGGAUCAGGUUGUCGAUCGACUGCUGAACGAAGCUGCAGAGAUAGUACUUAGGGAAGACUAAGUGCUAUUGCAAAAAACAUUUGAUAUAUGAUUUGUGUAAUAUUCUGUAAUCCUGUAUGUAAUAUACUUGUUCUAUGAUUCAAUUCUUUACGAUGCAUGAAACUUUAAACACGUACCAUUUUUGAGUCUUCGACGAAAAAACACCUUCCCUUCUUUUCAUGCUUCGUGAAGAAGAAUUUAUCAUUUAUCACGACAAUAUCCAUAGUGUUCUGGUAAGAAAUAUCCAAGCUUCGUAAAAAUAAUCUCCGAAGCUAUACCUCGAAAACCAAUAUUGUUUCUCCCUGUAACUUGGCAUGAUUUGCCCUUUUUCAAAGCAUUUUCCGAAGAUCGAUAACAUGCCCCCUUCUUGUGCCACAUGCAGCAUGAUGUAUGAUGAUUAUGCUAUGCAAAAUGAUGUGAUGAUGUUAUGUUAUGCAAAAUGAUAUUUUGUGCCGAAGAUACGCACAUUCCUGCAAUGGGGCACAAUCUUUUGUAUCAAUACUGACUUUUUCAUUAUAAGCCUCCCUUAGGAGCUUCUUCGCCUUUUACUUCAGCGGAAUCAGCGUUUAUUUUUCGCUGUAAGUUCUGCAUCCCCUUAGGAACGUCUUUGGAACUUCUUCGCCUUUUACUUAGGCGGUAUAAGCUCUGCAUUCCCUUAGGAACGUCUUUGGAGCUUCUUCGCCUUUUACUUAGGCGGUAUAAGCUCUGCAUUCCCUUAGGAACGUCUUUGGAGCUUCUUCGCCUUUUACUUAGGCGGUAUCAGCGUUGACUUUUCGCUGUAUGCUCUGCAUUCCUUUUGGAACGACUUUGGAGCAGAAAACUUACACUGCGCUCCCUUCGGAACGACUUUUCGUGACUUCGUCAGACUUACUCUGCGUUCCUUAGAACGACUUUUUGUUGCUUCGAAGGAUUUUUGAUAGUCCGAAGGUCCUUUUUAUUAUCACAAACCUGUGAAGAAAACAUAUUUUUCUUGUAGGAAUCAAUGAAACUGAUUACAUGAAACCUAAACAAUGUCCUUUAUUACAGAGAAUAAAAUUGAAUGAAAAAGAUUGCUAUUAAGGUAGGAUAUUCGUCAAUAGAUGUGCUUUGACUCUGGCACGGUGCUGUUGACCGUGCGAGCUUCGGACUGUUCUCUGAAGUCCCUUUGAUGUGGAGCAUAUUGGCUCCCUUCUGGCUGCUGGCCUUGUUGUAGCGGUGGUGGAGGCGGAGGUUGUUGCCAGGAAGCCUGAGGCUGACUCGCCGAAGCAACAGAAGCUGCAGGGUGAUUUCCUACAUAUUCUGGAAUGUAAGGCGAAUGAUACAAAGCAGUGUGCAUCACCUGCUUCGGCUGAGCCUGUUGCGCGGCAGCUUCGGCUAUCUCUUUUUGCUUCUGAAUGGUAACAUGGCACAUCCUGGUAGUGUGACCUUUGUUUUCACCACAGAAUAAGCAGAAUAUUCUUCUGGGUUGAUCCCCGAAUCUUCCGCCGAAGCCCCUGGCGCCUCUGCCUCUUGGAGCUGUUGGUCGAAAGGAGCUUUGCUGUUGCCCCGAAGCCUGUGAGGAAUACUGUGGCCUUUGCUGCUGGCUCCCCUUAUCAUCAUUUUGAUUGGAAUUAUGAAUUGAUCUGACAUGCCUCGGAUGGAAUCUUCCUCCGAAGCCCCUGGUCAUCUCAGAAAAUCUGAAGGCCUCCUCCCUUCUUUGGCGAAAAUCAUUAUCAGCUCGAAUAUAUUCAUCCAUCUUCUGGAGCAGCUUCUCCAGCGUUUGCGGUGGCUUCCUGGCAAAAUACUGCGCUGAUGGCCCUGGCCGAAGCCCCUUGAUCAUGGCCUCAAUGACAAUCUCAUUGGGCACUGUCGGUGCCUGUGCCCUCAAACGCAAGAACCUUCGGACAUAUGCCUGAAGGUAUUCUUCGUGGUCCUGAGUGCACUGGAACAGAGCCUGAGCAGUGACCGGCUUCGUCUGAAAUCCUUGAAAGCUGGUUAACAACAAGUCCUUCAGCUUCUGCCAUGAAGUGAUCGUUCCUGGUCGAAGGGAGGAAUACCAGGUUUGAGCAACACUUCUGACAGCCAUGACGAAAGAUUUGGCCAUGACUGAAGCAUUGCCACCGUACGAAGACACUGUUGCUUCGUAGCUCAUCAAAAACUGCUUCGGAUCAGAAUGGCCAUCAAAUACGGGGAGCUGAGGCGGCUUGUAUGACGGAGGCCAAGGUGUAGCCUGUAACUCAGCGGACAGGGGAGAAGCAUCAUCAAAAACAAAAUUCCCAUGAUGGAAAUUGUCAUACCAGUCAUCUUCGUUGUGAAAGCCCUCCUGAUGAAGGUCUUGAUGCUGAGGCCUUCGGUGUUGCUCAUCCUGAGCAAGAUGACGAACUUCUUCAGAGGCUUCAUCUAUCUGCCUCUGCAGUUCAGCUAGCCUGGCCAUCUUCUCCUUCCUGCGUUGAACCUGCUGCUGAAGGAUUUCCAGAUUCUGAAUCUCCUGAUCUAGAUCAUCCUCCGGAUGUGCUGGACUGGUAGCCUUCCUCUUCUGGCUUCGUGCCUCUCUAAGAGAAAGGACGUCUUGAUUGGGGUCCAGCGGCUGCAGCGUGCCAGCCCCUGGUGCUGAAGCCUUCUUCGGCGGCAUGACGAAGCUGAUGCUUGCCGAAGGUGUCGAAAAGCUCAAGAAGUGGAAGUGAGUUCACCGGAGGUGGGCGCCAAUGUUGGGGACUUGUUCUCAAAUGCUGAGAGUUAAGAACAAGGCAACAUAGAAAGUAUUAAGUGUUAAAGUCCCUUCGUCCUUCGAAGCAUUAUGUCCCUUCAGGAAAUAAUGAGUUUCGGACGAAGGUCAUAAGAGACAUACCUUCGUAAACAUAACAAGUAAUGACGAAGGAUUCAUAUAAAGCAUGAAAUAUAAUAUAAACAUCAUCAUAGAAUCAUUUCUAUUUUAUUAACAUGGAAAAAUAGAAAUGAUUUCAAAUUACAAAUGUACCUUCGGUCCUGAAAGAAGGUAGAAAGUACAAGCGUGACGCAAAAGCAAAUGCCAAGUCAGCGUGAACAGUACGGGGAUACUGUUCACCUAUUUAUAGGCACGGGGUACAACCCAUACAAAAUUACAUACAUGCCCUUUACAUUUGGUGAUAAUUCUAUAGCAUUCUAUCGAGGUCCAAAUGGCCUUUUCAUCUUUAAGUCGGUUCCUUUUUCUGCGAACAUGCCGAAGCUUUCCUGCUUCACAGCUUCGGCACUGUGUCAACCUUCGUAUCUUUUGAGCUUCUCCCUUUCUGAUACGCGUCCGAAGAUACCUGUUCACACAUUAUACUCCAGAAACAUUGUUAAAUCAUGUUUUUGAGGACCUUCGGAAGCCGAAGGCCCCCAACACAUCCAAUAUCAGCAGACUAGUCAGGAUGAAGGACUUGUCUCUAUUUGGCUACAACUCUCAUGACUGCCAUGUGAUGAUGACGGUGUUCCUCCCAAUUGCGGUAAGAGCCCUCGAAACAGAGCAUGUCAAAGUUGUCAUCACACGCUUGUGUUACUUUUUCAAUGCAGUUUCACAAAAAGUAAUAGCUUUAGAAGACUUGGACUAUCUAAAGGCAUACAUCAUCGAGACUAUGUGCAAGCUUGAAAUGUGUUUUCCUCCAUCAUUUUUUGAUAUGCAAGUACACCUAAUCAUACAUCUCGUGGAUCAGAUAAAAAUAUUAGGGCCACUAUAUUUACAUCAUAUGUUUCAGUUGGAGCGAUACCUGGGAGUAUUAAAAGGUUAUGUGCGAAAUCGCGCUCACCCAGAGGGUUCAAUCAUGGAGGGAUACACUACAGAAGAAGUGAUUGAGAGCUGUAUAGAUUACAUCAGUGACGGAACAAUGAUAGGUGUGCCUGUACCUAAACAUGAGGGUAAACUACGUGGGAGAGGGAGAAUGGGCAAGAAAACUUUUCGCGUUGAGGAUUACAAGCUAGUACAUUGUGCUCAUGGUAGUGUACUACAACAUCUCACGAUAGCCGAGCCUUACAUAGAGGAACACCUGAAUGAGCUUCGUAAAGAAAAUCAGAACCGCACAGAGGACUGGAUCAUGAGGGAGCACAAACAUCGUUUCAGCGAAUGGUUAAUGGACAAAAACAUCCCAUUCGGAGACUCUUCGGAUGAGAAAACAAUGAAGAAUUUGGCUUCUGGGCCAUCGUGUUUUGUGACAUCAUGGCAAGCAUAUGACAUCAAUGGGUACACAUUCUACACUAAAUCAAAAGACUUGAAAAGUGUUGCACAAAAUAGCGGUGUUCGUAUCGAUGCUUUUGACCUACAUGGACAGAAGACCACAUAUUUUGGAUUCAUAGAGGAAAUAUGGGAACUUGAUUAUGGCCCAAGCAUGAAAAUACCCUUGUUUAAGUGCCAAUGGGUACAACAUCCCGUGGGGGUGAUAGUGGAUAACUACGGACUCACACUGGUAGACUUAAAGAAAGUAGGAUAUAAAGAUGACCCGUGGGUUCUCGCCGAAUGUGUUGCACAAGUGUUCUAUGUACUCGAUCCAGCAGAUGAGAAGAUGCAUGUAGUUAUUUCUGGAAAGCAAAAAAUUGUUGGAGUUGAGAAUGUGGGAGACCAAGAUGAGGAAUACAAUAAGUAUGAAGAGAUGUUCGUCUUUAACGGUCCAGAGAGAAUCAAGCGUGUGGAAAAGAAAAUUGAUAAGAACUUAAAGCCAUACAUGCGGAAAAAUGGUAGUUCAUGAAAAAUUGUAUGAAUCAAAUUGUAUUUGUUAUCAUGUAUGAUCGACUAUGAAUUGUGGUUGCCAAUUAAUUUAAAAUCUCUCUAGUUAUCUAUGUGUGCUAUUAUAAUUCAUUUAAAUUGUAUUUGCAUAUUAUUGUUAAAAAUUAAAUAUUAAUUCAUUUAAAUUGUAUUUGCAUAUUUCUGUUAAAAAUUAAAAUUAUUUUCAUAUUUAAAUUGUAUUUUCAUAUUUUUACAAUCCCAGGCGGUUUUGUCUUAGGGUCCGCUUGUGAAAAGGAUAGAGCAUCACAGGCGGUCCUAAACAAAAACCGCUUGUGAUACUAUUACAUCACAGGCGUACUAAACCGCCUGGGACAUCACAGGCGGUUUUCUAACCGAACCGCCUGUGAUGUAAAAAUCCUACCGCUUGUAUAGAGCCAAAUUGUACUAGUGAGAGCAACAACACGCUCGCCAUUCUCUAAUCAACCUCGUCGUCGUUUUCAACACCGUCGAGACACUCCUCUGCUCAACGCGUGUCUCCUGCUUGUCGGAAUGUGUGACUGGCCUCCUCGACCUUGCAGUGGGCUGGUUCACGUCGGCCACCGUGUAUCCAACUUCCGCAGUAACGUUGUUGUUCUCUCCUUGAGCUCGUUGCCGACUCU